AUUUUCAUUGGAUAUACAAUUCUGAUUUGACUAUUUUCUUUUUUUUUUCCCCUUAUAGCACUUUAAAGAAGUUUAAUGUCUUCUGACCAUCAUGGUUUCGGAUGAGGAACAUCAGUCAUUUGAAUUGUUCUUAUUCAAGGAAGUUACCUCUGAG
rnacentral:lncRNA from 1 species